UACGUAGGGGGCUAGCGUUGUCCGGAAUCAUUGGGCGUAAAGCGCGCGUAGGCGGCCCCGUAAGUCCGCUGUGAAAGUCAAAGGCUCAACCUUUGAAAGCCGGUGGAUACUGUGGGGCUAGAGUACGGAAGAGGCGAGUGGAAUUCCUGGUGUAGCGGUGGAAUGCGCAGAUAUCAGGAGGAACACCAGUGGCGCAAGCGGCUGACUGGCCGAGACCUGACGCUGAGACGCGACGGCGUGGGGAGCAAACCGG
rnacentral:rRNA from 1 species